rnacentral:rRNA from 1 species
AACGAACGCUGGCGGCAGGCCUAACACAUGCAAGUCGAGCGAAGCCUUCGGGCUUAGCGGCGGACGGGUGAGUAACGCGUGGGAACGUGCCCUUUGGUACGGAAUAGCCCCGGGAAACUGGGAGUAAUACCGUAUGUGGUCGAGAGACGAAAGAUUUAUCGCCAAAGGAUCGGCCCGCGUUGGAUUAGGUAGUUGGGGGGGUAAUGGCCUACCAAGCCGACGAUCCAUAGCUGGUUUGAGAGGAUGAUCAGCCACACUGGGACUGAGACACGGCCCAGACUCCUACGGGAGGCAGCAGUGGGGAAUCUUAGACAAUGGGGGAAACCCUGAUCUAGCCAUGCCGCGUGAUCGAUGAAGGCCUUAGGGUUGUAAAGAUCUUUCAGUGGGGAAGAUAAUGACUGUGCCCACAGAAGAAGCCCCGGCUAACUCCGUGCCAGCCGCCGCAGUAACAC